UACGAAGGGAGCUAGCGUUGUUCGGAAUCACUGGGCGUAAAGCGCACGUAGGCGGAUCGAUCAGUCAGGGGUGAAAUCCCAGGGCUCAACCCUGGAACUGCCUUUGAUACUGUCGAUCUGGAGUAUGGAAGAGGUGAGUGGAAUUCCCAGUGUAGCGGUGAAAUGCGUAGAUAUUGGGAGGAACACCAGUGGCGAAGGCGGCUCACUGGACCGGUACUGACGCUGAGGCGCGAAAGCGUGGGGAGCAAACAGG
rnacentral:rRNA from 1 species